UUUUUUUAAAGAAAAAAACAGAGAGCCGCCAGACCCAGGCUGCCGCCGCAACACCACAACCGACGCGGCGCUGACUGUACUGCUACGUAGCGUAUCUGCCGUAUGCUGCUACAGUGAAAAAACUAAUUUUUUAAAAAAUUCUCGUCACUUUGAAUCUUACGGUAUAGAGUAUUUAAAUAUAGAUAAAAACAAAAAACUAAUUAAACAAUUUAUCUGUAAAUUGUGAAAUAAAUCUUUUGAGUUUACUUAGUCUAUGAUUAAAUAAUAUUUACUAAAUAAAAAUGAAAUUGCUACUGUACCUAAAAACAAAAAAAAUUGGAAAGUAAACAUAGUUCACCCCAAAAAUCCAAAACUUUUUAAAAUUCUCCGUCACAUCGAAUCUUGCAGCACAUAUAUAAAGUAAAUAUAGAUGAAAACAAAAACUAAUUACACAGUUUGCAUAUAAAUCUCGAGACGAAUCUUUUGAGUUUAGUUAGUCUAUAGUUAGAUAAUAUUUACUAAAUAAAAAUGAAAUUGCUACUGUACCUAAAAACAAAAAAUUCUAGAAAAAAACAAGGCCUGAGUAUUUUAUUCUAAAACAAGUGUUUCCACUAUUGCGUGUCCACGUGCUAGGGAUUGCAACUUUUUGAGUAUAAAAAAAAUGGUUUUGCUAGCGCCCGGACGUUCGGCGCGUGAGUGUGUCCGGACGCCGGGCCUUCCCCCCGCUCGCCUCCCAUAUGGAAAAGAAAAAAGGAAAAAUAGAUAUGCUAAGCCGAUUCUAUCCGUCCCCACGACCCUUUUCUCCACUCAUCGUGCAAGACUUGCCCCGCCUCCUACGUGCACGAGAUCUACUUGCCUCCAACCUCGCCGCCUCUCUAAGCCGAUCCCGUCCGUCCCCGCGUCCCUUUCCUCCACUCCCCAUGCAACGACUCAC
rnacentral:lncRNA from 1 species